UCGGGAAUUUUGGACAAUGGGCGCAAGCCUGAUCCAGCCAUGCCGCGUGGAUGAUGAAGGCCUUAGGGUUGUAAAAUCCUUUCGUUGGGGACGAUAAUGACGGUACCCAAAGAAGAAGCUCCGGCUAACUUCGUGCCAGCAGCCGCGGUAAUACGAAGGGGGCUAGCGUUGUUCGGAUUUACUGGGCGUAAAGCGCGUGUAGGCGGACUUGUAAGUUGGGGGUGAAAUCCCGAGGCUCAACCUCGGAACUGCCUCCAAAACUACAAAUCUGGACCUAAGUAGAGGCAAGUGGAAUUGCGGGUGUAGCGGUGAAAUGCGUAGAUAUCAAGAGGAACACCUGAGGUGAAGACGGGUUGCUGGGCUGACACUGACGCUGAGGCGCGAAAGCCAGGGGAGCAAACGGGAUUAGAUACCCGUGUAGUCCCUGAGCGGGCUGGCAAGGCGCAU
rnacentral:rRNA from 1 species